rnacentral:rRNA from 1 species
AUUGAACGCUGGCGGCAGGCUUAACACAUGCAAGUCGAGCGGAGCGAGGGUGCUUGCACCUUAGCUUAGCGGCGGACGGGUGAGUAAUGCUUAGGAAUCUGCCUAUUAGUGGGGGACAACAUUUCGAAAGGAAUGCUAAUACCGCAUACGUCCUACGGGAGAAAGCAGGGGAUCUUCGGACCUUGCGCUAAUAGAUGAGCCUAAGUCGGAUUAGCUAGUUGGUGGGGUAAAGGCCUACCAAGGCGACGAUCUGUAGCGGGUCUGAGAGGAUGAUCCGCCACACUGGGACUGAGACACGGCCCAGACUCCUACGGGAGGCAGCAGUGGGGAAUAUUGGACAAUAGGGGGAACCCUGAUCCAGCCAUGCCGCGUGUGUGAAGAAGGCCUUAUGGUUGUAAAGCACUUUAAGCGAGGAGGAGGCUCUUUUGGUUAAUACCCAAGAUGAGUGGACGUUACUCGCAGAAUAAGCACCGGCUAACUCUGUGCCAGCCGCCGCUGUAA